rnacentral:rRNA from 1 species
ACUCUGCCUGCUAAGGAGGCCUUUGGGCUGACUAGCAGGCACAUAUGCACAGGGCCGCAAGGCUCUGAUGUUUACGCUUGUUUGUUUGACAGAUUUAUUAUGUGACAAAAAUUGACAACUUUUAACAAUGGAUCUCUUGGCUCUUGCAACGAUGAAGAACGCAGUAAAGUGCGAUAUGUAGUGCGAUUUGCAUGAAUCUGUGAGUCAUCUAAUCUUUGAACGCAACUUGCGCCUCUUUGAGGCAUGUCUGUUUGAGUGCCGCAUACAUCAAUGCAGCAAUGCGAUUUGACUGUUGUCCCUGGACUCGGUCUAAACGUAGCCAGAUAGUGGCCUGUGUAGGCUAGCCCGAGUGCUAAGCAUUCUCUAGCUAGCUCACACACGCCGCCAAAUCUAUUCUAUCUUUGGCCUCAAAUCAGGCAAGACUACCCGCUGAACUUAA